AGUGAACGCUGGCGGUAGGCCUAACACAUGCAAGUCGAACGGCAGCACAGUAAGAGCUUGCUCUUACGGGUGGCGAGUGGCGGACGGGUGAGGAAUACAUCGGAAUCUACUUUUUCGUGGGGGAUAACGUAGGGAAACUUACGCUAAUACCGCAUACGACCUACGGGUGAAAGCAGGGGAUCUUCGGACCUUGCGCGAUUGAAUGAGCCGAUGUCGGAUUAGCUAGUUGGCGGGGUAAAGGCCCAUCAAGGCGACGAUCCGUAGCUGGUCUGAGAGGAUGAGCAGCCACACUGGAACUGAGACACGGUCCAGACUCCUACGGGAGGCAGCAGUGGGGAAUAUUGGACAAUGGGCGCAAGCCUGAUCCAGCCAUACCGCGUGGGUGAAGAAGGCCUUCGGGUUGUAAAGCCCUUUUGUUGGGAAAGAAAAGCAGCAGGUUAAUACCCCGCUGUUCUGACGGUACCCAAAGAAUAAGCACCGGCUAACUUCGUG
rnacentral:rRNA from 1 species